GAGGUGUUCUUGAUGGUGGUGGUGGUGGUGGUGGAGUGGAGGAGGUGUUCUUGAUGGUAGUGGUGGAGGUAGGGGUGGUGGUGUUCUAAGCUGGGUUGGAGGAGGCGGCAGUGGUGGUGUUCUAGGUGGUGGUGGCAUUCUAGGUGGUGGCAGAGGAGUUCUUGGUGGUGGCAGUGGUGGAGGAGGAGUUCUUCAUGGCAGCAGCGGAGGAGUUCUUGGUAGCGGAAGUGGAGGUGUUCUAGGUGGUGGUGGUGGGGGAGGGGGUGUUCUCAGUGGUGGUGGUGCCGGUGUUCUAGUGAGGAGGAGGUGUUCUUGGUGGUGCUGGUGGUGUUCUUGGCAGUCGUGGGGUGGUGUUGUAGGUGGCAAUGGCAGAGGAGUUCUUGGCAGUGGUGGUAGUGAUGGUGGUGGAGGUGAACAAGCAUUUGGAGUAAAAUAAUAGGGUCCAUAUGAUUAUAUCCAUUAUUGAUGCAUGUUCUUAAGGAUUGGCCAAUUGAUCUACCAUUUAUGUCUGUUAAAAAAGAACACCCCUGGGGUGCUCUAGUCAUGUCCACGCUCACUCGGCAACUCCCAAUAUCUAUUCUAGUCUUCACUAAUUCAAAGAUAUCAAAGUAUCCUUUGCUAUUUGUAAAUGAUGAAUCUGGACAAACCAGGUUUACCUUGGCAUAAGAUUAGAAAAAUACAGAAGAUAAAUAAUUUUUCUUACUGAAGAUGCCACUCAAAGAGCAAACCACAGUUAGUACAAUAAAUAUAGCCUUCCACUUUGAUGUGGCAGCACAAUAAUUCUCAUUUUUCAGAAUUACUGCAAGUAAUAAAAUUAAAUAGAGAAAUGUUUUUCUUUCCAUACUUAAUGAGGUAAAAGAAUGCCCUUUUAUAAUCUGCAUUGCAUCAAGUGAAAAAAUCUAAGGUACAACUAAUCAGCUGCUAGACUUUUUUUUCAAACUCAGAUUUUCUGAUUUAUGUGAUCUCAUGUUUCCAUUUACUAUGCCAAUGAUCUACUAUUGUAAUAAUAAUAAUAAUAAUAGUGAAAAAUCUCAGUAUACUUUCUUAGAAAGUACAAAAUUUAGACUUUGUAUCUAAUCUUGUCUAAGACAUAUUUGUUCAAAUGAUUAAAAUAGUGGUUAACACCUAGAUUAAGAAAGUUGAGUGGCUGAGUUGAGCUACAUGGUGUAUCUAGAUGCCCAUCCUUAUGCUACAUGGGCAUCUAGAUAGGUGGUAUAUAUGCUAACAUCAAACAUCCCACCCAGAUCUUCAUUACUGUUUGGUGCUGGACUCCAAUUUUCCCCAGGUAAAACAAUCUAUGUGUCAGUUGUAAAUCUACUUUUUUAACCUUUAACCUUUAUACUUUUACAGUCUAGCAGAAUAUUCUUAGAAUAACUUUUAUUUUGUUGCUUUUCAAGGUCAUAAGGGUCAAAGGAAAUAAGUAGAUCACUCAUCUUGGUGCAACAGAGCUGCCAAGCAAUUGGUCUUUAGUCUUCCAUCACCCACACUUUCUUGCAAUGCUCAAUAAAUUAGGCACCUCUAGUAGCCACACUAUUGUAUCCUUGGAUUCUGUUUGUGGAAAUAGUGUGUAUUUUGACACUAAAGAUGCUAUAAUUGAUCAAGUUCUGGUCAACACAUUUUAGUCUAGUUAUUUUCAACAGGUAGAUCAUGUUUAAAAGCCUAUAAAAGGCCAAUAACAACCUUCAUGGUUGUUGAGAACCUCCAGAAAUAAAAAGAUUUCUGAGGGCUUAAUACCUUCGAUCUAGAAUCCAGCCUAGCAAUAUUGAGCUGGCAGAGAGUUCAUAUAGGGAUGGCUUGGCUUAAGAUCACAUAUCCUUAACCAUAUUGAAACUUAGAUAAUGAAAGGAUGCCAAAAGCCAUAAAGAUCACAAACAUCUGUUCUAUCACCUUAUUCUAUUUCAUAUUAUUCCAUUCACCUUAUUCCAUGAAUGAAGUACCACCAAAAUGCUUACCUCUCACUAUGGUCUUUCUAUGAAAUGGCAAUGGUGAAUGAUUAUGUUUCUUGGCAAUGGUUAUAGAGAGGAUAAUUGAAAAAUAUCACAUGAUAAUUUUUAAAUUUUACUUAUUAUUUUUAUAUUAUUCUUUCAAUUAAAUAAGCAAACCCUAGCAUAGAGCCGAGGUUUGCAGCGCCACGAACAGAUCAUUCUCGCCAGCGUCUGGAGAUGGCGGCGCCGGCGCCUCCGCUUUGCCCUCCAGGAUCUGCACCACGCGGCUCAUCGCUGGCCUAGAUCCUGGAUCCUGGUGGAUGCACCACAGCGCGAUCUUGAGCGCCGUCUUGAAUUGCUCCCAAUCCACGCUGCCGCUCGCCAGGUUUGGAUCGGCAAUGCUCUCCAGCUCCGAGGUCAUUUACUUGUGGAACACUCGCCGGGCGGUGGCAGUGGCGCAUUCUCGUAUUCCUUAUCUCCGCUGCCGAGCUCCAUGAGGGCCUUCCUCUUGCCGCUCAAGAUAUCCAGCAGGAGCAUCCCAAAGCUAUAGACGUUGGCCUUGGGGGUGAUGGAUUGGCUCUCGAGCCACUCCGGGGCCAGGUAUCCCCUGGUUCCUUGCACGGUGGUGACGCUCAUCGAUUCUUUUCUCAUCAUCCUCGCCAGCCCAAAGUCGGCCACCUUUGGCCGGCCAGCAGCACGUUUUGUGGCUUGAUAUCGCAGUGGACGAUGCGCUCGCCACAGGAGGUAUGUCAAUCCUUUGGCAAUCCCCAGCGCGAUUGAGUGUUGUGUCUCCGAGGUUGAGAAGAUCUCUUGGGAGGCGGCAGACGAGGACGAGGCCGAGAGGUGGUGGUCGAGAGAACCGUUUGUCAUGAACUGGUAGACGAGGAGGUGGCGGUCUCCCUCGGCGCAGUAGCCGAGGAGGCGGACCAAGUUGACGUGGUGUACUCUUCCAAUCGUGCUCACCUCGGCUUUGCAUUGCUUCUCGGCCUGGUUCACGGUGGUGAUCUUCUUCACGGCCACAAUACCACCUUUCUCCGGUAUGUUUCCUCUAUACACGCUCUCGAAUCCUCCCGAGCCUAACUCGUUGCGGAAGUUGUCCGUAGCAUCCUGGAGCUGGCGAUACGUGAACUUGGUCGGGAGCCCCUCGAUCUCUCCCGUCAUCUCCUCCCAUUUCCUGCGGGAGGUUUUCGUCCACACAGCCGCCACGACCGCGGCUCCAGUGGCAAACAGCCCGAGCUCGACGAUGGCCACGGACAGAAUGAUGGGGUGCCGCGAGAGGUAGACUGUCCAUUUGUUUAUCUUUCGCAUGACUUGGUCACUCACAGUGGCGUUUGCAUCCGCGAGGAAGGGAUCGUGCUGGUCGUCGGCUGCAGAUGUGUCCAGGCUCGACAACUUCAUAAACACCAUGUUGAUCUCGUUUAAGGUCUGCUUACCGUUGUAGAGCUUGUUGGAGCUGCCUUUGAGGAAGCACAAGCCCGUGCCGUCGUACUUGUACGCGGCUGCCAGGCACUUACAGUCUUGCAUGCAGGUGUCCUUGCACUUCUCGAGCGACUUGAUGGCCGAGUCGAAGUUGUAAUCGUUGAAGUAGUAGUCUGCUCGAUUCACCUGGACGAGCUUCACCGAGUUCGAGGAGUUUUGACAACCUCCCAGAGGUAUGUCGUAGUCACAUCCCUUCGAUUCGUCGUUUGGAUCAACUCGGUGAAAGCCAGGAGGACAGCUGCAAGUUUUUGUGGGCCUGUAGGUGCAGAGAGCGAAAGGUCCACAUGUUCCAGGACGUCGCACUCGUGCAUGACGGCUUGCCAGACGAUGCUCCAGGAGCCACUCUUGUUCUUCUAGAUCCUGAGAUUGCCAUCGUUGUCCAGCGUAAGUCUCCUCAACACAUUCCCAUCGUCAUAGUCAAGCGCGUAGGCUUGUGAACUCAUUGAUCCUGAUGCCCAACUCUUUCCAGUUGCGUCGUAAAAGGAAAGGACCCCUUGAGAGCUCAAGUUCAAGACGGCCGGGAACUUGAGAGAACGAUCAAGCUGUUCAAGACGUGCUCUCCGGUUUCGUCAUCCAGGCAAGUCAUGGUGGAGUUCAGUGUCGGAUUUGCAAUAGACCAGUACUUUUGCGGGACCUCCAGCUUUAAGUUCUUGAGCAGCACCUGACCACUGUUGAGAACAAGCUGGUAUGCUCCAGAUUGAGAAAUCAACCUCGUGUAUCCCAAGGACGGAUUUCCUUGCGUGCGGAGCUGCUGCUCGGGCAGAAGGUUGUUCGUUGGAGAGUCGAAGCUCUGCCAUGCAACUUUCUUGUCUUUCUGAAGGACAACUAAGUUCCCGUUCUCGAGCAGCGCAGCACUUUCAGCACAACAUUGUCCGGGAUUGGUUUGCCAGAAGGGGACGGAGCUGCUGCCAUCAGUGACGGAAAGUCCUCCCUUGGCUUUCAACUCAAGCUUGGCAUUUUCACUCACCUGGACCAGCUGCCCGUUUGCCAUUGCCAUCCAGACGACAGUCUUCUUCGGAUCUAUAUCAUACCAGAUCGCGAGAUUGAAGUUCCGGGUGCUUGAAGUCUCAGGCAUUACGAAUCCAAAUCCAAAGGUUCCUCCAGGUGAUCUCCAAGGGCUUCCUGUUGUGACAGUGCUUCCGCGCAAGAAGUCGGCCAGGACUCUGCUGUAGUAAGUCGAAGAGAGCAGCAGCAUGAGAGUAUGUAGCUUCAUGAAUGUUGUUUCUGACAUGGUUUCUCCAAAGCUUGCUCUCACUAAGUUUUUCUUCUUUAUUGCAGUUCUGUCGUUUCGUUGGAGUUACGUUCCCGGAUUGAAUUGAUCAAAGCCCAAGUCAAUCGUUGUGAAAGUCAUCUACUUUCAGGUUGACUUUGCUAAGGAUACUACUAUUAUAAGUAGUUCUUGUGAGGUAUGAUCAGUUUUAUUUUCAAUUGUUUUUAUUGCCAUGAAUUUGUAGCAAAACUCAGAAGGAUAUGAGAAAUCAUGGAGGAUAUCUUGUAGUUGACAUCGACCAAGUCAAAUUGUAGUUCUGAUAUAGCUUUCAGAGUUCACUUAUUUUCUAACUAGGGAGGUGCAUUUGCAGGAGAAAGAACAAGAACUUUUUUUCCUGAUGGCAGCAAAACUAGUGACGCUAGUUCUACUGGUGCUCCUGGUGCUGAAUUGCAAGGGGAUUGGACUGGGAGACAAGCUUGGUGCGGGGCAGCCACCAUGGAUGUCACUUAACAGCACUUUUGCAUUUGGAUUCCACACAAGCGAUGGGAUUGGUGAGCUCUUUACUCUUGCAAUCUGGCAUCAAAGGACAGGAACAGUAGUAUGGGAGGCCACUGAAGCGCUCAUCAAGAAUGGUAGCACGACCGAGAAACCGAAGAUCAAAGUAGGCAAAACUGGAGAGCUCGAGCUUAAAGAAACUGGACUCAUCGUUACAGACAAGUCCAUGACAGUAUGGCUUGUCCGCUGUGAGAAUUGUUCUAUCGCCACCGCGUCCUUGGAAGAAACUGGCAACUUUGUGCUGCUCGACCGUAGCUCGGACAGGAUUUGGCAAAGUUUUGACUUCCCAACAGAUACUCUCCUUCCUGGACAAGAACUUCGUGGAAAUACGAGUUUGGUCGCUGGAAAGUACCGGCUUAGCAUGAACAGGCGGGGUAUUGAACUCUACUUCCAGGACUACUUGAAUCAAUCCUACUGGGGCAUCAUCAACAAGCAGCUCAACACCUCAGAGUCGACAAUGACUUCUACUCCGAAGUUCACUUUCAGCAUCGAUGGUCAUCUUGCCUUUUUCGAUGCCAACGGAAGCUCCUGGUACCGCUACAAGUUCGACAACGCUCAAAAGUACCCGAUAGAUCUCGGCGAUACGAGCGUGAUCCGGAGGCUCACGCUGGAAAAAAACGGAAUGUUGAGGAGUUAUAGCUGUGGCAGCGGGGAAAAAAGGUGGAGAGUGGUAUGGCAGUCGGCAUUGCUCGAAUGUGAAAUUUUUGGGACGUGUGGAGCUUUUGGCUUGUGUGGAUACAAGCCGAGGAAGAGCUGCUCGUGUCCACCGGGAUUUCAUGCUGUGGAUUCCAGUGAAUCGGCCGGAUGCGUCCGCAACUUUCCCCUCAGCUGUUCUUCCGGUAACGCUACUUCUUCUGCGAGCAAGAUGGUGGAAGUUCAGAGGGCCAUGUACGUUGGAAAUCUUUUGCAACAACUCUCCAAAGAUCCGAUUUCCCUCGAGCAGUGCAAGGUCUCUUGUUUGAAGGAUUGCCGCUGCCUGGGUGCUACGUACAUGCUCGCGGGAACAAAACGUUGUAGUCUUCUUGGUGGUGAAGAUGGAAGACUCUUCAAUGGUGUCCAGGCAAUGGAGCGGACCUCCAUCGCACUUCUCAAAGUUUCGGCACUGGAUCCAUUGACAACUUCUUUCUCCGAGGACGUGUUUGUGACGGUCCUGGAUGCUUAUACGCCGUCACUCCCCGAUUCUUUGAGAAACUGGAGUUACUUCUCUGACGCGGGUCACAGACUGGUCUUUGCCAUCGCAAUUGGAGAGCUCGCCAGUUUCUUGUGCAUCGCGUUGUCGGCGUGGUUCUGCUGGCGAAGAUCUCUUCGUGAAAUGUGGAAGAAAGCCGCCAAGGAUCACCGCGGCCCGACAUGGUUCUCGUACGAGCAGCUGGAAGUUGCCACAAACCAUUUUAGCUGCAAGCUCGGGGCCGGUGGAUUCGGAAGUGUUUACAAGGGUGUUCUUCCGGAUAUGACGGUGGUGGCAGUAAAAACUCUUGAAGGAGCUGCCAGCCACGGCGAGAAACAGUUUAAAGCCGAGGUCGCCACCCUUGGAAGGGUUCAUCACGUCAACUUAGUGAAACUUUUGGGCUACUGCGCUGAGGGAAGCCAUCGUUUACUCGUCUACGAGUUCCUGAGCAACGGAUCACUGGACCAAGAGUGUAGCGAUCUCUGGGGAACGAGGUAUGUUCGUGCUCUUUCCAAAGUUUGUCUACUAAGUUGGUUUACAGGUACUCGAUUGCUCUUGGUGUUGCAAAGGGCAUCACGUACUUGCACGAGGAGUGCUACGAUUGCAUCCUCCACUGCGACAUCAAGCCGCAAAACGUUCUCCUCGACGAGAACUUCUGUCCAAAGGUGUCGGACUUUGGCCUGGCCAAGCUCACUGACAAAGAGCGGGCUCUCGACGUGACCACCAUCCGAGGAACUCGAGGCUACAUGGCACCCGAGUGGGUCGGCGACCGUCCCAUCACCUCCAAAGUGGACGUCUACAGCUACGGCAUGGUGCUACUGGAGCUGCUCAGCGGCAACGACAAGUCGAGAAUCGGCCAGAACCGCUACUUUCCAGUGUGGGCUUUUCAAAAGUACGUGGCCGGAGAGCUCCACGCCAUCGCGGACCCGGGGCUUAAAAGCUUGGAGUGGAACGAGUUCGAGCGGAUGAUCAAGGUGGCGUUUUGGUGCAUCCAGCUCGACGCCAGGUCCAGGCCGAGCAUGAGCCGGGUGGUGCAAAUGCUGGAGGAGCCCGACUUGGAGGUGGCUGUGCCGCCGUUUCCAACGCCAGCCUCGGAGGAAGUGGUGAGCGGGAAUAGUCCGAGCUUUCUUCCUCCACUGUCACAGUCGGUGAUCGAUCCAAGAUAGAAUUCAAGUAAGAAAUCUCUUCAGUCUAUAGAGUGUGAGAAAGUCUCGCGGGACGGGACCAUUUCAAAGCUUCGUCAUCCAACAAGGAGGACUUUGCCCUGUCUGGCCUGCUUCUCUGCCUGUUCCAUGGCGGUCUCGUAGUCCUCGAGAGGAAAUUUAGCCACCACUGGAAGCGAUCCUAUGAUCUUUGCCUGGAAGAGCUCUGGGAUCUCUUUGGCCAUCAGCUCUUGCAUGUCCCCUGAAGCAGCUGUCAAGCUCCAGAAAGAAUGGGAAACUUUUCUCGCGAGAUCGUUCACCGAUAUCACCGAGUCUGAUGAUUCGAGGCUCCCGAUAGUGAAGACUUUCCCACCAGAUUUCACGCAAGCGGCAGCGAGCUUAGUUUGCGACCCCGAUACCAUGUCGAUCGCUCCCUCCACUCCGGCUCCAUUUGUAAGUUCUUUCACUUUGGCAGCAACAUCUUCCCCACGAAGAUCACGCAAACUUAGAAAUUAUCGGGUCUGGGUGAAUUGUACCUUCUUUUGUCACGUUGAGAACUUCGUCAGCACCGAUGCGCUUGAGCUCUUCCUUGAUUUCGUCACGCCUCACAAGGUUGAUGGUCUUGAUGCCCCAGUGCUUUGCAAGCUUGAUAAUGAUCCUAGUGCGUGAAAGAUCGUUUCGUUUGUGAGAGUCGAGACCCUACUAAAGAUUUACCUUCCGAGCACCGAUCCAGCGCCAUUCUGGAGGACGUAGCUUCCUUUUGGAGCAUUGAUAUCCUUGAGAAGACCAUAGCCCGUCCAAGGAUUGAUAAUCAGCUGUGCCGCAUCCUCGUCGGAGAUGUCAUGAGGCAUCAAAAUCACGUCUUUCUCUGAGACAGUGACAAAAUCCUGCCAAGAGCCUGGUUUGGCAGAGAAAUAGUUCCACAGAAAUAUAGGAACCACUCUAUCCCCUUUCUUCACAUGCCUUACACCUUCUCCCACCUUCAAGAGAUUGGAAACGAUCAGAAUUUCUUCUUCUUCUUUUUCCCUAUGAAACCAACCUCUUCAACUAUGCCAAAGCCUUCACUCCCUGGAACAAACUCACCCUUGUCGAACAUCCCAAUGGAGAAGGACUGCUUGAUGAUGAUGCGAUCGAAGGGAUGGAUGGGCCUGGCAGUGAUGCGCACCACCACACUCCCGGGCUCGGCUGCUCCGGGCCUGGGAACAUUGACAAGCUCCGGGCCUUGAUUCGCCUCCCCGGCACCACAAACCUUUUGACGCACUGCUCUCGCAAAGUUUCCCUCAGCCAUGAUCGCGUUGUUUGCUUGCUGACUUCCUGCUAAACUUUGUUUAUAUAAGUCCGGUACUCUUUCCUUCCAGCUGCAUUGCACCUUUCUUUGUUGUUUCCAAACCAAUAAAAAACAAGAAACAAUGGAAAAUGUUGAAUUUUCCUUCAAGUUCACAAUUUCGGAAAGUUUCUCUAGACAAAGUCACUGUUAAAUUUUAUGCCAUCUCCUGUGGGGGUUAAUACGUAUUUAUGUAGCCAGUUUGAGUUCGAGAUCAUGAAUGUCAUCAAAUUCUUUUUCAUUAAGAAGCGCACACAUAAAUACAUAAUAGUUUAUACUUUUACAUAGUAAGACCUCAACCUUUAUCAGGAUUAGGAAUCAUAUUGGGAACUGCAAGAAACACUUGACGAGCGCGAGCUUUGACAAUGGAAGAAACAGAAGUAACGAACGACUUGAACUUGAGAAAAGGCCGAGAACCUCAUUGGCGGAGAUCACAGGCUCCUCGUCUACGAAUUAAUGCUACUUGACAAAGCCAGUCCUCGUGCACCCACCUCGAGCUGGGACAAACGCUACGCUGUUGGAUCCAGUGGCAUCUCCCAAAAAAACAUGGGCAACUGUGCCGCCACAUAAAAUGAAAACUUGUGGGCUCGGAGGUCUUAAAGUUCCAAUGCGCAAAAGCAAAAGAGCCAGCCAUGGUUGGACAGGUCGCUACUCAUAAUGCUUUCGUGCGUGAUCACUCUUCCUUCGAAGAUUUGUGGUUUGUUUUUCCAAACCUUUCUUAUGUGCUAUGGUGACAGACAGUCCUGUGGUGGCGUGAGAAACAUAAGACUUUGUUUCCAAAGGUUACUAGUCCUACCAAACCUUACGUGUCCCUCAGGUGUCUUAUCAUCUCCAGGACGAGCAGUGGGCUGCCUCGGACUAAAGAUCAACAAAAAAGAUUGCGUCGAUCCAGGAAGAACAUAUCUUAGGCAGAUUAAUCAUUAUUUCGCUGCUACCAUGGGGCCUUGCUAUGACAUAACUAUGACAUAUCACCAAGGAUUAUUUGGACCGCCCGGCUAGCUGGAGCUGCUGCCUGUUGACAACGUCGUGGUAGUAGAGCAGCACGCACAUCGGCUGCCCGACGAUGCAAAAGAAGAACCAGAAGAUCAUGUUGCCGACCAUGGAGCUCUGGAACUUGCGCUGGAGGACGUUGGUCACCAGAACCAGCGGCACCUGGAACAUGAUCCCCAGAAACGCCCAGCCCCGCAGCAUGUGGCACGGCACCGCGAUGCAAAUCUCGUGAAAGAUCCCGGAGAUGACGAACACCACCAGAAUGGCGAGCUGCUUGUGGAGGCCCAGCCGGAGGCACGGGAAGUAGACGUGGCGGACGAGCCAGCGGUGGACGGGCAUGUUCCACAGCCGCCAGUACUCGUCCACCGACUUGGCGUUCCACCAGUCCUUGUAGAACUCGCGGUCGCCGAAGCACAGGAUCUCCGCCACGAUGUUGAGCCACAGGUGGAAGAAGCAGUAGAAGAAGCCGAGCCAGACGUAGAGCGUGGGGAUGGACAGCUUGAGCACGCGCUCGAUCGCGUAGAGGUAGUUCCCCUUGAGCGGGUGCGUCGAGUUCCGGAUGAUCGGAUUCAUGUACUGCCCGAUGAUGAAGCCCAUGAAUCCGUUGAAGACGAUCCACUUGCCCAGCUGCCGGAGCACCCACCCGGUUCUAAUCCGCGGCGAGCGCGGGUAGCUCAGCUGGUAGCACAGCGUCGGCGCCGCCAUGAAGUAGGCGAUGUUCUUGAGCGAGAUGUUGUCCGGGUAGUCGAUCGCCGGCGCCUCGGCGGGGAGCUCGAUCUUGCCACCGUCCUUCUUCACCGCGCGGAUGUCGGCGUUCGUGUGCGCGUAGGAGACGAGCUUGAGCCAGCCGGUGACGGCGAUGAGCAUGAGAACCAGCCCCGAGAGGAGAUCCGACUGGAACAUCUCGAUCACGUAGAUCGGGUAGAGCAGCGCGGCGGCGAGGUUGAUCAAGUGGAGCGGCGCCACGGCGGUGGCGGGACGGCGGGCCUUGAUCUUCUCGAUGACAUAGGCGGCGAGGGGGAAGAUCAGCAGGGAGAGGCCACACAUGAGGAGCGGCCAGUCCUUGAGCGACUUGGAGCUGAAGAGGACCUCGGCCUGGAUGAGGAGGCCAUACUUCAUGAGAUUCUCGAUGAUGAGCCGGCUGUUCACCGCCACCAGCACGACGAUGCAGAGGUUGAAGAGGCCGGCGUGGCUCUGCGUGAAGAUGGCGUCGGAGCUGAGCGGGCUCUCCUUGCUCCGCCGGUGCGCCGGGAGCGAGGGCCGCAUGGCUUGCAUGGCCGCCGCGAGGAAAAGGAGGAGGAGGAGGAGAAUCCAAGCGGCGGCGAGAACAAAUGUACCUGCGCGGAGGGAUCGGCGGAUCCAGCAAGGAGCGGGGAGGCGCAGGCGCAGUAAAUUCUCAUGCCCUGGCGCUCCGGGCUUCCUCCUGAAAGCUGGACAUAGAGGAACCCUAGAAAUUCCCAAUUUUAGGGUUCUUGGGCAGGGGAGAGUUAGGGCUCUUGGGCAUUAGGAAAUCCCAACUUUUAGGGUUCUUGGGCCAAAGUUAGGGUUCUUGGGCAGGGAGGGGCGAGAAUGACCAAGGUCGUGGCCGGCGCGGGCGCCAAUCUCCUGUCCCAGCACGCCAAGGAGCACAACCAGGACGCGACCGCGUACGUGGGCAACCUGGAUCCCCAGGUAACCGAGGACAUCCUGUGGGAGCUCUUCACGCAGGUGGCCCGCGUCCAGAGCGUCUACAUCCCGCGCGACAAGAUUACCACCGCGCACUCGGGCUACGGCUUCGUGGAGCUGGCCAACGAGACGGCGGUGGACUACGCCGUCAAGAUCCUCAACAACUGCCGCCUCUACGGGCGGUGCAUCCGGAUGAGCAAGGCCUCGCACAAGGACGAGAACGUCGGCGCCAAUCUCUUCGUGGGCAACCUCAGCCGGACCGUGGACAACUAUCUCCUGGGAUCCAUCUUCAGCGGCUUCGGCCGCGUCGUCUACUCGAGCGUCGUCCACUCGGACGACCAGACGCGGCCCGGCUAUGGCUUCGUGCACUACGACUGCUUCGAGGCGUCGGACCUGGCCAUCGAGAGCAUGGACAAGCAGUUCAUCGAGAACCAGCAGGUGAGCGUGUCGUACGCGCGCAAGAAGGACAGCGGCGAGCUGCACGGGUCGCCCGCGGAGCGCGAGAUCGCCGCCAAGAACCCCGACCGGAAGCCGCACAUCAUCCCCAAGUUCCAGCCGCCGCUGCCGCCGCCCGAGGCCUCCGCCGCCACCGGGGGGUACUACCAUGGUUACGGUAGCGGGGUGCCGUACACGGUGAUGCCGCCGCCGCCCCCCCAGCAGCACGACUGGUCGCACCACCACCACCACGCGCAGGCGGCGCCGCCCGCGCCGGCGGUGGUAGCGGCGCCGCCACCGCCGCAGGGGCAGUGGUUCCCGUCGCCAGGGGCGCCGCCACCGCACCAGGCGUGGAUGCCACCACCGCCUCCGCGGAUGUAAGGUAGCCACUUUUUUUCUUUUCUUAGAGUUGUGGAAGCUCUAGCAGAGCUUUGGAUGAAAGACUGUAUGCUAUAAGUUUUGUCCAGGAAUCUAUCUCCAAAAAGUUUGGAAGCUGUAUAUGCUUCAACCGAGAAGAUAGAUCAUAAACCAAGAACAAAAGCAAAGAAAUGUACGCACAAACAGGAGUUACAAAGUUUCGAAGAUCUACAGCCACAGCCAGUUCCUCAUUGCUUCUACGAGAAGAUAGAUCAAAAACCAGCAAGAACAAAAGCAAAAAACUGUUACCUUAGCGAACGAAGUCGAGCUUUCCAGUUUGCAAAGAAGCUCGUAUGCACAUCUGCGGUCGAGCUUAUGCUGGAGCCGAAAGUCCCGUCCCGCGUACUGCGAGCACAAGGCCUCGGUGUCUGACGUGAGCGGCGGGAGUAUCUCCGAGCAGCUUGGAAGACACGGAGACGCAGGAGCCACCGCCUCGCCGCUUUCAUAAGCCAAGUCCGCUGCCAGGAUCCACACGAGAUCUGGAUCGCUGCUUGAUAGAGCACUCGCUGUCUCCGCGGCUAGCUCUUUCAGCUCCCACUGACUGCAAGCUAAGCUCACCACCGCCCCGGCAACCGUCUCAAAGAUUGCAUCCAAGGCUGGAGCACUCUUCUUGUCCCCGCUUAUAGCUUUGAUGCACUUGAGCGCUGCUUCUUGGACUUUACGAACUGUUCCUGGAGACUCCCUGGUGGCAAGAGCUCGAGUGGCAGGCUGCGCUAUAAGCUGGUCGAGACCGACCCGGCCUCCAGUUACCGGACCGUCUUGAAGAAGCCGUAGAAGCAAAGGCAGGACGUCCUUUUGCAGGCGACGAGCUAGAAAAGAUCCACCGCAUUCGCGCGCAACAAAUGCUAUGGCACUCAAACAUCUUACGAGAACCUGCGAAGGAAAACUUGUCUGCAAACUGGAAAAAGAGAGUAGCACUUAAGCUAGCUUACCGCUGGGUGUUCACUCCUCAAGCAGCAUACUACGUGAGGCCAGAUCUGGUGGAUGGUAGGAAGAAGCUUGUUCCCGUCGUUGGGGUCCCUGUCCGGUGUUUCAUAAUCCAAGUUGCCUUGGGACCUUUCGAAAGCUUGCAUGGCUUCUUCCCAUCUCAAGUUGCUAGCUUUAUAAGCGGCUUCGAUCUUAGACAGCGCUGCAACACCAUCCUGUAACAACAUCACGGCUCAUUAACAUUUGCGAACACUCUGUUCAAUACCAACCUCUAUUAUGUCAAGUGCAAGAAUCCUCGCGGGGAUAUUUUUCGAGGCAAGUAGCGGAGCCGAAGACACAAUGCACGAAGAUGCCACCGUCAAAACUGAAUGGUGGCAUCUUUUGUGCUGCAGCAACGUCUGAAUGUUCUGCUCCCCUUCAUCCAUAGAUGAUGGCAAAUCUGAAAGAUAGCUUCGCUCAGAAACGAAUACAGUAAAACACCAUACCCACCACUCGACGCUAGUUCAAAGCUUUCAUGCCUAGCAGCUCUAGUUAUUUCUCGCAGUGCCUGUUAUCAAUGUGAUUAGCUAGUUGAUGACGAUUUCAUACACCAUUACCUUCAGGAUUGGAACCGUAAGGUAAGGAUGGUGGUGCCUGCCAGGUAUUUCCAGUUCCUGGAGAAGACCUCGCAUCUAAACCAGGGAGAGUUAAGCAAGUUGAGACUUCAGAUCACUUACUGGUUCUUCGAGGAGGGGAAGCAGGUCGGCUGCAGCUCCAGUUUGUUGUAAUAUAGCGGUCAAAAACUCAGGCGCAUGAGGAUACAUUGAUAUGUGCCUCAGUUGCCGACACAACGAAUCCACCACAUGAUCCAAAUUUGCCACUACCAGUUUUUGCACCUAGAAACGGAAAAAAACGAGUUAUUAUCCACAAUUUGUAAGCAGAAGCAUAACUUACAGAAACAUAACCGGAGUGAUGGGAAAUUGCACGUAACGAAAUGCUCGCUGCGUGGGCGACCGAAUAUCGGCUACAGCCCAGCUUCUCCAAUAGGGGAUAAAUCACCAAGCCCAAGUAGCCGCUGGUUUCGAACGAGCUUCCCAAAGUCAUUCCGAAAAUUCCAACACCUUCAAUAAGCACCUGUAAAGCUUUUAUGAGACGAUCAUGCAAGAAAUACACAAACCUGUUGAAGUGUUGCAUUGUCUUCGAGGAUAGCCAGAUCACUCUCGUCACUUCCUUGAGAAUCAACUGGAAGAUCCCACAAUUCUGACACCAUGUAAUCGUGAAGGACGUCGUCAAUGGCGUCACGGACAUGUGAAAGAAAGUCUGCCUUCGGCAGCGGAUCCCAUUCAUUGGAUUCUUUACUUCCGAAGAGAUUAUUCCUGUCCAGCCAAGUUCCAGAUGCUCCGUAGAUAAUCUCGUUCAAUGCGCAAGCUGCAGCGGCAGCAGAGCGUCGAAGCUGGCCACCCUUGUCAGCUCCACUUUCCGAUGCACAAUCACGGAUAGACGACUGGAGGAGUAGUAGCAAGUCCGCUAAACUUGGUUUGUCGACAGAACCUCUCAAGCUCGAGAAACCAGCAAGUCUCAGAGUGCUUGCCAGUGCAUCAUACAGCUUCACUUUUCCAGCCUGCGUGAACCAAGGAGCUGUCCGAGGCAACUGAUCAUUUGCCACUUCAGCCUCAAGACUCGCUCCAUGCGGAAGUGAAAUCUCUCGAAACUUGUAGCCUCCGGAUUCAAUGUAGCCGGACGAUGCAAACGUUGAAGGAAGACUUAGAGAUUGUGUCAUAAUAGUGAUGAACCGCGAAACACAAGCCUGAAACAUCCGUCAGCCUUCAAUUCCAAAAGAUACUCAAAUUAAUUCAGGCUUACCGGAGAUUGAAACAGCGACGUAAAGACAGCUCUGGGGCCUGAGUAAUACAUUGCGGCUGCUAGUCGUCGCGCAUGAUGCAAUGCAGAAACUUCAUCCGCUGAAAUAACAACUUUAGGCAGAUCCUCCAAAAGCCUGGAUCAUCAACUGUUAGGCUUUAUCACAGUACUUGACUUUCAAACCUGUUGAGAACAGCAGUGAAAGCCGAUCUUAGUUUGGAGUCACUUCCGGAAUGCGCGAGGAAUGAAAGACGGUGACUUGCAGUGGCCGAAACGGAGCUUGAAUCACCGCAAGCAAAGAGCAGCAGAGUUUCCUGACAUACAUCAGUCAUUCCCCAACAACGAUCGCUAGCAAAUAUUGAUCUUACCAAAAGCAAUGGCAUGCAGACUUCCAAGGUCUUCUGGCAAGAUCCAAUUAUUUGCCCGGUAGCUUCCACGACCGCUUUACGUACAGCUGCGACCGGAUGAGCACAAAGCUGAAACCAUGUCAAGAAGCUUGAACUGCAAAAAGAAAAGGAGGAAGUUUCAAACGUACCAAGGGAAGAACAUCCUGUAACAACUUGUCGAUAUGAGAUACUGUGUCGGCAAGCCACCUUUCGUGGCACUCUACGCGCAUGACCUUUCGAUCCUCCAUGCUCGUGUCUGCAACCUCAAGCUGAUGCUCAUCACGUCGAGUUUCAUGUACCGCCUUCUUCGACAGCUUUUGCAAAGCUCCCAAAGCUUCCUGGUCCUGAAUGCGAGGAGUGGCGAUGUCUGCAGUUACUAAACUCCGGGAAUCCGCAAGCACGAGAACGAGCAGCUCGGCAAUCCCCAGGAUCGCCUCACUCAACGACCGGCUGCUGGCAGCUGCUCCAACGGAAUAGAACUGCGCGGCGGAAACAAAACCCGACCUCCCGUUGCUCACAACUGCACCCUUGAUCACUUUUCCAAGCCCGCUGGCAACACCGGGAAGAAAAAACGCGAGAGCAUCGGGCGAUGCAACCUGGAAGAACUCUAUUCAGCAAGAGAAGAAAAGGAAGAACUUGAAUCACCUUCGUCACGACGAUUCUAAGCGUUGCAAGAGAGUCGGCUCGUAUUGAUCCACUCCCCACGCCAGCUCUUGCAGCCUCGGCAUGAGAGAUCUGCAAGAAGAAUCUAGUCACACUCAAGAGAAAAACCACACAAAAAUACCUGGAGUAAGACCGAGAACAAAUGGCCGAUGGCGGCGGCCAUCUCCUCCGACCGCAUUCUCUCCGCGACAUCUCCCUGAGGAGGCAAAUGCUGGAACAUGGAAGCCAGGCAUUUGACAACCCCGUGGCGGAAUUCUUCCGACGCCUCGUCGGGCGUGAGCAUGGCCGCGCCGACGAGUUUCCGCAGCAGCGUCGCCAUCUCCUGGAUGUCUUGGACGGGGCAUUUCCGCAGCAGAAUCUCCAAACACGCAGCAACUCUCUCCGCCAAUCUGUCGCUCACGAUCACGGGCUUGGAUCGCACCGCUACGCCCUUGGCUCGCAGCACCACGGCCGCGUCGAUGAGGAGCAGCAGUGGGAAGAGCGCACACCUGACGAUUCAUCCCAGAAUGAGGGAGAGAGAGAGAAAGGGGGGGAUUUUCACUUUGCUUACUGGUAGCAGCUCUGGAGAGCCGAUGCCGGGAGUGCCUCCAAAACCUUCUCGAGGGCCUCUGCCGCCUCGAUCGCCUGGCCCUGCGCCUCGAUGCCCGCGGUGGGAAGCUCCAGGAGCUUCGUGCACAGAGGCCGGAGCGCCGAAGAGGCCAUCAUUCACAUUUUUAGGGUUUAUACAGAGAAAAACUUAAACCCUUUUGCCCAAGGUGCUAACGAUUUUGUAAAAAUGCGGUUUUGCGAUAAAUUAUUAACAUACUAUUACUUAACAGGAUUUUCACUUGCGCAAUACCCUAAUGGACGAGUCACUCCCCACAUUCUUGCUCUCAAAAGCUUCCAUGGAACUUUGAUCUUGGAGCAGGGUUGAUCUUUAAAAGCAGUCUAGGACCAAUCAACUGGGAAAAGAGGCUUCCUUGGAUCAAGCAGACGAAUUGGCUAGAUCUUUUGCUCAAAAGUAACGGAGCUGGCUGAUCAGAGAGAGCGAGAAAGAGGCCAGAUCCAUUUAUUUAACGAUUACAUCAAUACGGACUUCUACGCAUUCAUAUCCAACAAAAAAGAAUCUUUUGUGAGAGAGAAGUGUUUGGACGUCAGUACACAUGGAAAGGCAAAAGGAACACGGGUUGAAUACUGAAAGCAACACCUUGACUGCUGGGCUCAUUCAAUAACAAUAUCUCAUCACAAUAUAAGAACAAAGACCGAGACACAGAGCAAGCAAUGGCAAGUGUUGCGGAUCUACAGCUUGAUGGUCUGGUCAUUCACCAAGAUGGUUCAUACACUCGUGGAACAAUCCCAACGAGUCCGGCAAAUCCCGAUUUUGUGGAUGGAGUGGCCUCGAAAGAUCUGACAAUUGAGGAGGAAAGCAAUCUGUGGGUGAGGGUAUUCUGUCCCCAGCAGAAGCAUGAAUCUGGUAAGCUGCCUAUCCUAUGGAGGUGGGUUCAUUCAAUCCAGCGCUGAUGAUAUUGGAUACCACCACCUUUGCGAGGAUUUUGCAAAAUCGGUGGUUGCACUUGUGGUCUCCGUGAAUUACCGGAUUGCACCAGAGCACCGCUUGCCAGUUGCUUAUGAGGACGGAUUUACCGCUCUGAAAUGGCUUCAAGCAGUGGCCAAGAAGGAAGUUACCGCGCCCUGGCUGUCGGACUGUGCUGAUUUUACCAAGGUUUUCGUGGUGGGCGAUAGCGCUGCAGGGAAUAUUGUUUAUCAUGUCAUGAAGCGAGCUUCAGCGAAGAGUGGCUCGGAUUUGAAGCCACUGGUUCUGGCUGGCCAGAUUCUCAUCCAGCCGUUCUUUGGAGGUGUUGAGCGGACUCCCCCUGAGCUCGUCGAGUUCAAGCCUGGCCAACUUACGACUGAGUUGUGCGAUGUGUUUUGGAAGUACACGCUCCCAGAUGGAGCCAACAGAGAUCAUCCAUACUGCAACCCAAUGGUGGAGCUCCCCCAUGCUCUCAAUGAUGCGGAUAUGCCAAGGACACUUGUUGUGAUCGGGACCGCUGAUUUGCUCCAUGAAAGGCAGCUCGACUUUGCAAAGAAAGUGAAGGAGAUUGGCAUCCCAGUUCAGCAGGUUGUGUUUGAGAAUGCAGGCCAUGCGUUUUACAUGACUGAAGGACAGGAGAGAGUGAAGCUUGUGGAAGUUCUGACAGAAUUUGUAAGUCAAGAGAUAUAAUACAAAACAUUUGAUACCACUUUUUAGCUCAUGAGCUCAGAAUUCAAUAAAUCUAAUUGUCUUUAAUUCUUCAUUUAUUAUUUCAAAAAAUGUCUAAAUUUUGUUUUGAGUCUUACAAAUAAUCGCCACAGGAGCACUGUCCAUCUCUAAAAAUAUGGAGCCUGCUCGCAUACACUCCUCCAGCUUGGAGAUGAUUGCCGUGGCUUUUUGACAAUCCUGGCACACUCUCAAAUAACUGACGACACUUCCUGGCUUGGAAUUGAUCAACGCACAAGGGACUGCAAGCUUCUCGCUGUGCUAGGCACAUCCUCUUUCUCGCCAACAUCCUCGCAAAAACUUUGCUCCUCUCAUCAAGCUUGCCUGUGCUCGAGUAUAUGUUGGCCAUGAGAACAUAUGCCGCAGCACUGCUCGCGUCGAGCUCCACCAACGACUCGAAAGCCACCUCCCUCACGGCCACAUUCUUCCAUUUACACACCCCAAGCAGCGUCUUCCAGAGGCAUGGAUUCAAUCACGUUUACUGCCCUGGGUUGCGAGGCCCAGCAUACGUAGUGCUCUUUCCCUGGAGAAAUUCCAAGCUUGUUGCUCAUCACUGUGAAAUACUUCCUUGCCUCUUCGACCAGACUGGUAUGGCUGUAAGCGCUCAAAACCGACAUGAAGGUCUCGGACCCGUCACUGCACUGGAAGAUGGAGACCAUGCCUUUCAAGCGAAACAUGGAGACAUGGUGCCCUUUUUGGCUCCAGGCCUCUAUUCUCUCCAGCAUCUCACACACCGGCAAUACAUGAUAUCCUGCUAUCAUGGAUCCGCCAAUAGCCAAGAGGUUGACAAGAAUAUUUUAAGACUAUUCUGGCACAGUUAAGGUUUUAGUUAUUAAAUAAGUAUUUUAAACCAAAUUAAUAAGUUUAAUAAUAUUUAGAUCUGUGUAAACUACCAGUAUCUAAUCUUAGUGGCAAUAGUUGCUAUUUAAUAGAGGUUUUGCCUUAUCAACUAGUUUACAGAAGAAAUUAUUAUUUUAAAAUUUAAUACUUAGUAUUUAUAUUAAUUAUUUAAGUUAGCAUUCUCUAAUUUAUAAUAUAUAUUUAUUUAAAGUUUUCAUUGGUUUGCUUAAGCAAAUCUGUAAGGGGAUUGGGAUGGUAGUGGAUAUACCUAGAAUAUGCUUGGAUGUUCUAGGAUAUUCUACCAUCUAAUAGUUGUUAUUCAUUUAGAUUAAUCUUGUAUUUAUAAUUUAUAAACAUGUUUAUAAUUUAUAAACUUUCUUAAACCCUUUCUAGUAUAUUCUUUUUUAUUCUAUCAUCUAAUGGUUGAUAUGCAAUAAGAUUAAUCUUGUAUUUAUAAAUUACAAACAUGCUUAUAAUUAUAAACUUUAUUUGAUCAAUUGGAUUAAUAAGUAAGAAUAACAUUAUUAUUAAGAAAACCAAGCGUUCCUACAUGCAACACAUAGCACUUUAUUAUUACUAUCAAAUCCCAGUCAUAAGUAAUGUCCUAUGUUAUUUUAGAUGUAAUUUAUAAAUAAAAAUUUAUUUAUAUUAUAUUGUGAGGUUCAAGUAUACGGCUACAAUGCCAUAUACUAAUAUUAGUAUAGUGGGAUUUUGGUAGUUGUCAGAUUAGUUUCAAUCUGAACCACUCGCUCCUGUAUAUAAGCUAAAGUUUUUGGGCUAAUUGAUAUGCAUAUUUUCUAUAUUCCCUUUCCAUAUUCCAUGCACUCACAUUGGUGGAGGUGAGGGGCACCUUUGAUUAUUCCCUGAGGAGUGCUUGGAUUUGAGAUUUUGGUUUAGAUUUAGCUUUUGCAUUAUCUAGAUCUAGUUUUUUCCAUUUCCUUUUUUAUGUUCUUUCCUUUUAAGAUUUUGGUUUUGAUCUAGUUUUUUGCAUUGUCUGGAUCUCCCAUUCCUUCUAAAUUAACAAUCUCCUCCUCCUUUGACUCUAGAGUAGUAGUUGGUACAAUUGUUUGAUGCUAUGCAAUUGCAAUUGAACAACCAAAGUUAGUUAAUGGUGGCAUUCACAGCACAUGGUAUAACUCCUCUUGCUCUUGGUGCCAAUCCUUGUGUUCGGCUAGAGUUUUUUCACGGGAAUAAUAGGGAUGAUAUACCAUUAGUUUGAUCACUUCAUAGUGAUUGCCAUAUAUCUCUCUUGGGAUGAUGCUCAACAUUUGCAUGAGUUUCCCAUAUGUCUCCAAGGGAUGGCAUUGCAAUGGUACAAUGGUUUGAGUGCAACCACUCGUAGGGAUUGGAAUGUUCUUUUGGACGUCUUCAAAUGCACAUUCGGACAUGCUGAUGAUUGUGAUGAUGCCUUCCAACAAUUACAUCAUCUUCGUUAAGGGCCAUCUAAGUCGGUGAUGCAAUUUAGCGUUUGUUUCUGAAGCCUCUUACUUCGUGUGGAGCCAAAUAUGUCGGAGUGGAUCAAGCUAGUAAGGUUGUAACUAGCACUUUGUCAAGAUUUUGUUGGACUUGUGCAUGUAUUUGCUCCAACCACCCUUGAUGGUGCUCUCCAUUUGGCACAACAUUCUGAGAUAUCACCUCUUCCACUUCUCAUUGCACAUCCUUCAGCUCCACUUUUUGUGAGCGAUAGUUCUAUUCUAAUGAAGGUUGAUGCUACUGCUACUCUAGUCUAAAGACAAGGGUGAGGCCAUAGUCGUGGCUGUGAUGUUCGUUGCUGGGCAUAUGAUAAAGUUGGUCACACUUAUCAGUAUUGUCAGUGUUUUCUAGAUUGGCAGCCACCAUUUCCUAGGUGGAGACCUUGGCGUCAACAAUGUCCUAUUGGUGUUGCUGUAGUGGAGGGUCUGGACACCAAGAUGCAUCUGGGAAACGAAGAGUCACACAAGUAAUGGAGGGACUUUGUGCGAAUAAGUCAGUAACCCUUUUAUUUUUCUUUCUGGAGUAUCAUUAAGGGGUUCACUCGGCACUAGUUCAUCUAGUGUUUACUUUCCAAACUUGUUUUUAUAACAAGUGGUCUCCUAUUAUUUUCUUCGUGUUGAUUGAUACAGGUUUGAGUUUAUCUUCUAUUGCUCAACCUGUUGCCACACAUUGCCAUCUACACUUGUGUUGUGUAGUGAAGCCAAUUUUCAUUCUUUAUGGCAAUUGCCGUACACAUGUAUGUGUAUAGGAUGACGCAGACUUAGUUGUGCAUAUGGGCAAUCUCAAGUUUGAGUUGCAAUCAUUGCAAGUGGUGCUAAAUUAAGCUUUUGACCUCAUACUUGGUAUGGAUUGGUUGCAGUGCAAUCAUGCCAAGUGUGACUUUGAGACUUCUCCCCCUUGUUUUAUACUUUUUUAUAUUUCAUCCAUUCUUCUCAUUUCUGUACUUCAUCAUCCUUUUAUUUUUACUUCUACUUCCAUUACUUUUAUCCCCCUACUAUUUCCUCCUAUGUUUCCAUCUUAUUCUACUCUUCCCUUUUCCAAUCCUUUUGAAAAUCUUUGUGUUGCAGCAAUUGACCGACUCAUGAAGGAGUAUUUUGAUUUCUUUGAAUUUGACCUAUCGUCUGGGGCCAAGAUUGCCACAUGCCAUCCAAUUCCAACUGGGGAUGCUUGUCCAAUCAAGGUUUCUGUUCGUUGUUGGUGACCCAAAAAUAUCAAUAUUUUACGUAUAAACGUUAAGGAGAUGUUGGAGAAGGGUGUUAUUUGAAAGUCGUGGAGUCCUUGGGUAUAUGAACCUCAUCUUAUGACAAAGCCUAAUGGGUGUAUUCGUUUCUGCAUUGACUAUUGACUAUUGACUAAUAACCCCUAUUGAGCCAAGGGGAACUAACACCUCCAUUUUUGCACUGAUAUACUAAUCCUUCCAUUGUGUAGACUAGUUAUUCCAUGUAAAGCAACAAGUCAUUCACUCGUACUGUAGUCCCAUGGUGGAUACCUUCAUUUGUGGAGUAUGUGUAAACCAGCUAUUCCAUAUGAGGCAACUAGUCAUUCACCUGUACUGUAGUCCCAUGGUGGAUACCUUUGUCCGUGGAUACUCCACAUAAGAGGAAAGACAUACGCACGGAUGCUUAAUAUGUAUGAUUUCAAAUUUAGGUGUAGAAAUAUACCUUGCUCAAGGGUAUAUUAUAUUUUUAAGUAGCCAUUAAUUAAUGGGAAUCGAACCCAUGCCAUUUCCUCUGAUACCACAUGUAAUGCCCCUUAUCUUUCUCUCCUUAAGCCAAUUGGAAAAGAGGCAAUUGCUUGAUGAGAGAGCUUUUAGUGGCUAUUUUAUCCCCAUUUAUCCCCCAAGGUUCCAAGGAUCCAUAGUGACAGUAUAUCCAAAUCUCAUCCCAUGAUCACAUGUGCUACAAGUUUGAACAAUACUCCAGCAACUUUUUAGCGGAUGAUGGAUAAGGUUUUUUGCAAUAUGCCGGAGGUGAUUGCUGACUUCAUUGAUGAUAUCUUAAUCCAUGGAGGGGACAUGGGAGUGUAAGCAACCAAAGGGAACAACUUGAAAGAUGAUCCAUAGGGGUUCAAAUAUAGAAGGAAAGGGCCCAUGAAUAAGAGUGCACCCUUUUUUCCAAUCGGUUAAGGGUCUUGGGAUAUUUGGGGUUAAGUGUCCUUGGGUUAGAAUAGUACUGGGUUGGGUGACCUCCCAGGAAGUCUAAACUCAGGAGCUUACAUUUGGUAUCAGAGCGGUCUCAGGUCCGACUCUGUUGGUUGGCUAGGGGAAUCACACCACAUGUUGAUUGACAUCUGGCUGGUCCAAUUUGCUCCCACUGGGCUCGACUCGAGGGGUAGGGUGUCAAGAGAGCAGGGCUCUCGGGAGAGCUGCGGCUCUCAGCUUCCGUUCACGAGGGCGUGAAUUUGCAGGGAAGCGUGUUGGAUUGUAAGCAACCAAAGGGAACGACUUGAAAGAUGAUCCAUAGGGGUUCAAAUAUAAAGGGAAAGGGCCCAUGAAUAAGAGUGCACCCCCUUUUCCAAUCGGUUAAGGGUCUUGGGAUAUUUGGGGUUAAGUGUCCUUGGGUUAGAAUAGUACUGGGCUGGGUGACCUCCCGGGAAGUCCAAACUCAGGAUCUUACAGGGAGGAGCACAUUUGUGAUGUUUGUAAAGUGUUGGAUCAGCUAUAUGACGUUAAUUUAAAGCUUAAGCAGUCGAAGUGCGUGUUUGGGUCCAAGAACACAACUUAUCUUGGGUACCGUAUUUCUCAUGAGGGUUUGCAAGUUGAUCCUGACAAACUUGUGGCUGUUUUAAAUUUCCCUACUCCAAAGUGUGAAUGAUGUGCAACACUUCUUGGGCAAAGUGCAGUAUUUUGGUCGUUUUGUGGAUUAUCUUUUUGAUUGCACUGCACCGUUGCAAGCAUUAUUGAAGUCAUCAACAUCAUCUUUCAUCUAGUCUCUAGAUUGUGAGUGGGCAUUCGUGUAUCUCAAAGAGCUAUUGAUGACUCAUUCAGUUUUGGCAUAUCCUAACUACAUUGGACCUUUUAUUUUGUAUAUGGAUGUUUUUUAUAUUGGUUUUGGAGAUGUGUUGAUGCAAGAGAGCCUGAGUGUGCCCGGUCAGUGACAUCCUAUUGUGUAUAUAAGUUGUACAUUACAACCAACAGAGGUGAACUAAUCCAUGAUAGAAAAGGAGUGUUUAGUAGUAGUCUGGGUUUCGAAAAACUUCAUACAUAUUUAUAUGGUUCUCAGACGUUACUUGAAGGUGACCAUACUGCCAUUACUUCAUUAUUGAAGCGAAAGAACCUGAUUGGUCAUAUUAUUCAGUCGGCUUUGAAGCUUAAGAUAUAUGAUUUUGAUGUUGUUCAUUGCCUAGGGAGUUCUAUGGUUGAUGCUAAUGCCCUUUUUCGAGCUCCUCUUCCUUCUCCACUCUCUUCUCAUGUUUUUGAUAAGCUUGUUAUUUCAACAUUUGUGAAUUUUCUAAAUGAGAAUUUUGUGCUAUCAGCAGUUGCUGUACUUGACAUUCAAUGUCCACAAGGUGCAAAACAAGAUCUACCUUCUUUUGAUGAGGUUUGUAAAGCUCAAAAUAUUAAGCUGUGGAUUCGAAGGCUUCGAGAUGGGUUUGAAAAUCUUGCAUCACUUGCUAAUGAUUUGCCAUUCCAACAUUUAGAUUCUCAAUAUCACCUUAAAGAAGGCUUUCUUUAUUUUGUGGGGAUAGAUGUUGAUGAUCCUUUAUGGCUGGUGGUGCCUUCCAUCUUUAUUCCACGGUUUCUCUAUGUUUACCAUAAUUCUCUUGUUCUAGGCGGGCAUAUAGGACAUCGUCAUAUGACCAAGAAGCUACAUAGGUUUUUGUAUUGGCCGGAGAUGCAACAUAAUGUUAUCCGGCAUGUGUGUAGUUGCGUUUGGUGCCAAGUUUGUAAUACUCCCCUUCGUGUUGCAGAAGGACAGUUGGAGUCAAUUGUAAUUUUUCAUUUGUUUGAGUUGGUGGUGUUUGAUCUUAUGGGACCUUUUCCACAAUCAAUUGCUAACAAUAAAUAUGUUAUUAUUGCUUUUGACUAUUUGACUCGUUAGGUGGAAGUUGAUGCUCUUGCUAGUGCCUCUGCAACUGCUAUUGGAUACUUCCUCCUCAAUCAAGUGGUAUUCUAGAAUUCUUGUCCAAAGCAGAUUCUUUCGGAUAAUGGUCCUGCAUUUAUAGCUGAGGCAUUUCAUGUUUUGAUGUCUUGGUUAGGGAUAUGCUACACUGUCACAAGUGUUUAUCAUCUACAAUCAGAUGAUUUGGUGGAACAGCUUGUUUGGACAUUCAAAGGGAUGAUUGUGAAGUAUGUGAACUUUCAGCAUUUAGAUUGGGAUGGUUAUUUGCCGUCUCUUCAGUAUGCAUAUAUCACAGGGUGCAAAGUUUUGUUGGUGCUUCACCAUAUAAACUCUUAUAUGGUCAUGAUCCAAUAUUACUAACGGAGCUGGGUUUACCUUUGCAAUUGCCACGAGCUGCCAAUGCUAGGUUGUGGGAUUAGUAUUUGAUGAGCAUUCUUCUACUUGUCCUAACAGAGUUUGUCGGACACUUAGGUUGCAUACAAGUAGAACAACAACAGUGUUACAACUCCCAUCAUUAUCCACCUGCCAAGUACAAAGUGGAUGACUUGGUGUUAAUCCAUUUUCUCCAUCUUAUGGUAUGUGGUUUAUCUAAGGGGCUCCUUGCUCAGUGGAAAGGACCAUAUCAGGUGUUGUGGCAAGUUGGACCGCAAGUUUAUGAGGUUUAGCAUGAUGUUUAGCAGGUUGAUCCUCUAAAAAUUAUGCAUGUACAGUAAUUGAAAUGCUUUAUACAAAGGGAUCAGGAACAAUUGAUACCUUUUAAAGAUCUACUGAUGCCUCCUCUUAAUGUUCCUUCAAAUCCAGGCCUAUCUAUAAGAGAACUCUAAUGGUCUUUCAUUAUUCUGAGAGGAGGGGAUGAUGUGAGGUCCAAGUGUAUAGCUACAAUACUGUAUACUAAUAUUAGUGUAGUGGGAUUUUGGUACCUGUUGGAUUGGUUUCAAUUUAGACCACUUACUCCUGUAUAUAAGUUAAAGUUUUUGGGUUAAUUAAUAUGCACAUUUUCUGUAUUCCCUUUCCAUAUUCUAUGCACUUACAAUAUUAAAUUCGAAUACAAUACCAAUAUCUAAUUCUUUUUUAAUGUCAUGAAACACCUCAUAUUUAAACAUUACAGGGUGAUGAAUCCAAAGCUUAACAUUUGGAUCUACCCCAAAAAGCAUACAAUUACAAAAUACAUGUACUUGCAAGGGAUGAAAGAGUCCUUGCAAGAGGAGUCCAUUUCCUUUAUCUUGAAACAUCUUUUUGGCUUUAGCAUGACUUGGACUGGAGUUUUGGGCUUUCUUAAGAGCUAGUACCCAUUUAUUUUGGUUGCUAGUUAGCAUUUGGAGGUGUUUAGCUGGAUAUUGGAGCAUCUCACAUUUCCAGUAUGGCAUUUUCUGUGAACUAGACAUUUCAUGCUGGUGUGGACUCAACAAGGAAGCAAUCUCCACCUUGUGAGUUUGAGUACCUUUCCUAGAGCAUGAGGGCACUUUUCAUGUCUGAGAAGAGAGUUAGAUUAUCAAAUGGCACAAAGGCACACUCAAAUAAUGAGGAUUCAAUGUCUUUAGAGGAUUCUAGGUUAGGGGAUUUGCAUAUGAUGGCUCAACAACCUCAAGUUCAUAUAGUCCAAAAGGGGAGUGAUUUGCCAACAUUUUUUGGCAUUGGUGGCAUCUCUCCUUCCAUCCAUAUUGAGCACUAUUGCUCAUCCAACACAUCCUCAAUGAUGAUUGGAUUUUCUCCAAUCGCUCAUCAGCAAAGUAGCAACAUAGGUACAGUCCCUCCUUGUAGUAGACAAGAUUGACUACCAGGUGCUACGAGAAUCCUUCAAGGACCAUUUCAUUGAGGAGAAGCCAUUGAAUUGUCUGCUCAUUGAUCUCUUUGCAUUUCGAGUUUCUUGAGUGCUCACUAAAGUGCUCACGAGUUGGUGCCAAACUACAUCACACAUUUGCGUUUCGAGUUUCUUGAGUGCUCACCAAAGUGCUCACGAGUUGGUGCCAAACUGCAUCACACAUUUUCACUCAUAUUGGAAGUGGUGUUGGGAUAGACAGGUUAUCACCCAGGAGCAGCAUGGGAUCACAGCCAUCAUCACCAGUCUUUAGGGAAACUUGCAACUAAAGUUCUUCAAGUGGCAAUUUGCUACAGGCCAUAUUGCAUUUGCAACAGCCACAAAGUUGGAGUGGGAACUUCUUGUGGACUUGGGCAUUUCACAUGUGGAGGAGGACUUGGCAUCACCCUCCCUUAAGUCCACAUAUUCCAUCAUCCACUCACAUAUUCUUGUGAUAGUGGUGGAGCGUAUUCCCUUAGCCAUCAAGAGUGCACUCACGGAGUUGUGACAAUAUAAAGAGAUCAUCUAGUAGUAGUAGCAAAUGCAAGAGAAAAUGCACAAAAUGCUCUAUGUUUGCCACUUACAACAAGCCAAGAAGCCACGAUGGGCUCCAUAAUCUUGGUAUUGCUCCUAUUGCAACAUCGUGACUCACAACACGAAGAGGUGUUAAGAGCUUCUUCCAGAGUUGUGGCCACCACACUCUUAGCAUGUUUAGGAGCAACCAUUCACUGAUAAUAGCACUGCAACACAAAGGAAAGAUUGCUACCAGCAAUAGCUUGAGCAGCAUGCAAUCAAGGAUGCACCUUCAUCAUUUUCCACUAAAGGGAAGGCUCCAAUGGAUAAGGUCAAUGCAAUCAAGAUUGUUGAGGAGGAGUUUGCAAGGACAACAGCCACAAGAGCACAAAAGAAGAAAGUUGCUCAAGAGGAAAUCAAUGAUGAUCCAGCUCCUUUAGUGAUCACUAAUUCAGUACAAAAAGUGGCAUGUAAGCUCCCAUUCACGUCUCUCCUUCCUGGAUGUCCUCUGCCUUUCUCUAAUAGUUCCUAGAUCCUUAAAAGUGUACUUCAACAAUCCUGAAGAUGUUCAUGAACCAUACUAUUGUCAUUUGUCACAACAUUCGAGUUUACGUUAAUGGGGUGGAGUCUCUUCUGGAUUUUGUGGUGGUGGACCACUAGAUGUUCAGUUCCACACCUUUGAAAGAUUUCUUAAUUGAAUGAGUUUGGCAAGAUCAGAUUAAAGGCAUCACCAACUAGUCACUCUACAUGAUAGAGAUUAGCGACAAUCAUCAGAAUUCUUAUCUCUACAAUGCCCACAGACACUCUCUAUUGGGAACGCUUUAAGGACAGCCUCUAGGCCUGUCUCAAAGCCAGUCAAUAUCUUUCAAGCCAUAUUCUCUUCCUCAACACGCUUUCCCCACUCGUUGAUGGUCAUCUUUCCUAAGUUGAUUGAAGAUCCAUCACAGCCCGAGUUUAACGUGUUCUAAUGCAACACUAUCAUCAUAGAGGCUUCCCCAAUCAUCACAACAAACACUCAAUUUUAUUGGAGUGAUGGGCAGCUUCAAGAGUUUCAAGUGGAGGCUCUUCCAAUGACAUCACUUCUUUUCGAGUGUGAACUUUAUGUGGAGAAUUUUCCCUUAGUUGCAGCUUAGUCUUAGAGACUUCAGUAUGGUACUUCAAUGAAGCAUGCACCUCCUAUGGUGUUUGCCACCUUUGAAAUAGGAAUGACAAUCGCAAGCAAGAGCAGCUUGGCCUCUUUAUUUGAGGACUGGGUGGUGAGUGACCAUGUGGUCAGUCCAGCCUCUUUAUUUGAGGACUAGACUACUCUUACUUUCACAGAUUUCUAGGUACCAUCACUUGUGCUAUCUUUACACCAUGUUGCAAACUUCUAGCUUUCUAACACAAAAAAACUUCAUGCUCAUGACAUAGAGAUCCUUGCCCUUGGUGAGCAGCACAAGGCAUCAGUUGAGAAACUUCUUGUUCCAAAGCACAAGUUUAAGGUGGCCAUUGACUCCAAAAUUCCUGAUUCAAUCCUUUUUUAUCUUGGGCAUCUUAUUCUUCUCAUGGAGUUCACUCCCUCCUCCAAGUUCUCUCCACAAUGGCUCGGUCCCUCCUUCAUCCAGCGCCAGGUGGAGGGUGGUUCUUAUGUGCUCGCAAAUGAGAUUGGCCAUGUGCUUUCAUAUGCUCACAAUCAUUGCCACCUCAAAGCAUUCAUGCAAUGAUUUCUUUCCUUUUUCUUUCUUUUUGUUUUUUUUUUCCUUUUCUCCACAUUCUUUCACCUCUCCCCUUUUAUUUUUAGGCUUUGCUACCUUAGGCCGUGGUUCCAGCUUAGAUUUUAGCCACAAGGUUGUAUUAAUUCCUUUUGUGUGUCAGCUCUUAUAGUUUCUUAGUGAGUCCUCAACUGUUUUUAGGAUCCAUCACCUUCACUUCAUCCCACCAUUCAUCACACAAAAUCACACAACAUUCUCUCUACUCAUUCUUUGCAACCGAUACUCGCAUUGGGAUCUUAGCAAUUUCAUCCACUUUCUAUCUAUGGUACUUGAUAUGCAUUUACAUCACUCCAAUACAACUAUAAAUAUCUUUUGAUAGUAGCAAAAAUUUUCCAAAUUUAAUAUGUCAUGUACAAGUUAUAGCUACAACUUUAUAUCAUUGCAACGUAUUAGCACAUGUGGAGCUGUUUUUCUUUAAGCUAGCAUCAUCCAACACAUGAAGAGUGCCCAAGCCAUUUUCUUAAGCAAGUUGUUAACUACCAACACUUAGGGCAAUUGGAAAAAGUUUGAGUUUGUGAUGGAGGCUUUGAGAGCUAGAGUUAGAAAUGUUAGAAGAUAGCCCUCAUCUCCUAAUAGUGAGUGUUACAAAAUAAAAUAAAGAUUAAAGGCAUGACUAGCCAAAAAUAUGUAAAUGACUAAAUUUUCUAUUCUACUUUAGUCACUUAACUACAUUUUUAACCAUUUAAAGGAAAAUCACUCAGAGCCUCCAUAAGUCUUAUUCCGGACUUAAGGGCAUGCUACCCUCGUAAAUAACAUCUAUGCCAUUUAGCUUUUACACUUAGUCCAAGUGUUCCACAUGUUUAAUCUUAUAAUAGACACCCCAAAUGUAUUAUAAACCUAUCAACCCAUUAUACUAAGACUAUAUCUAUAUACUCUUAUCUUAUUGGUAGUCCAAGACCACAUAUGGCAUAGUCCCGUCUCUCAAAGAUUGGGCCAUCUGUCCAUAAGUGGUCAUUACAAGACCACACCUUAAUAUCCUUAGGAAGCUCGAAGAUAUAGAGAACACCCUUCCCCAAUAUCCCUUCAUUAGUCCUCAUAAAGUCCUUCUUCAUCCACAGCCAUGCUCACUAACACUGCCAUUGAGUUAGGACUAUGCCCCUUAGAGGAUGGACAAGGCAUGGUGAGCCUUCAGGGUCAAACCAUAGACAAAUAUUGGCUGCGUGCCAAGGAUGGAAAUGGUAAUACUUGCGGGUGUUACUUUAUAAAAGGGUUUACCUUUCGAUGAGGACAUCGAACUUCGUCUAUGGGUGGUGGAGUUGUGAGACACAAAAUCCCUAGGCCCCAAAGUGGAGCCAGAAGGGUGCCACAUGGUAGUGGCCGAAGUGAAAGCCAAACGAGCGUAACACGUUUGGACCAAAAGCUCCAACUUGAAAAGUUGAGAGCGGGAGUGAAACUCCCAACAAAGUGCUUGAGGAACGAGCACGAAGCGAGCAAUAAGCGAGGCUCCAAAAAAGGGACCCAAAAGGACCAACACAUGACACGUGGAAGGAGUCCGAGAUGGAAUCUGAGAUGGAGUCCGAGAAGGACCUGAGAUGGAGACCGAGAUGGACCCGAGAUGGAGUUCGAGAUGGAGUCCGAGAUGGACCGAGACGGAGUCCGAGAAUGGAGUCCGAGAUGGAGUCCGAGAUGGACCGAGACAGAGUCUGAGAAUGGAGUCCGAGAUGGACCCGAGAUGGACCUGAGAUGGAGUCCGAGAAGGACCUGAGAUGGAGUCCGAGGUCGAGACCGAGACCGGGACGGAGACCGAGACCGAGACUGGGACCGGGACUGAGACUGAGACCAAGACUGGGACUGAGACCGAGACCGAGGCCGAGGCCGAGACCGAGACAGAGCCCGAGUCUGAGUCCGAGUCCGAGUCCGAGUCCGAGUCCGAGUCCGAGUACGAGUCCCAGUCCAAGUCCGAGUCCGUGUCCGAGUCCGAGGCUGAGUCUGAGAGGGUGAAAGCCCAAAGCAUUCAUCUCCCAGACCCUGGGGGGUUUGGUGAGCUCCAAAAGUAUAGUGAGGGGGAGGACUGUAGUGGAGCCAGUUUGGCCAUGAAAGGCCAGUUUGGCCCAGGAAGGCCAGACCCAGUGUUGGGUGAUGAACUGACCACUGGGAAGUCCAAGACUAGAGUGAAUACUGACUGACAAGCGGGGUAGCUUGGUGAAGUAUUCAAGAGCCGGCUCUAGUUCCCCCGGGAGAUCGACUGGCCGAUGCUCCCAGUCCACGUGUGGGUGGCACUACCUACUUGGAUACCAGGCGUGGCUCAAUGGAACCUCGCUCUAAGCCCAUGGCUAGAGCACAUAAAGGCAGAAGGUGGGGAGAGUACCCAUGGGGCUCGCGUAGGCCCACGGUAUUCCGAAAUGUUGUCCCGGAGUCCCAAAUGGGGGAAAGGAGGAAGAGCAGUCCUCUAGUGUAGUAACUAAGGAUACAAUCACAUGGUGAGGAAGUCCCAGAGGACCAUGGGACUUAGUGGUCGGGCCUGUGGGCCUUGAUUUAGUGGCAGUGUCGGUGAACAUGGCCAUGGACAGAAAAGGGACUUGGUAGGAACUAACAAAGGGAUAUUGGGGAAGGCUAUUCCCCAUGUCUGUAGGCAUCCCAAGGAUGCUAAGGAGUGGAUUUGGGUUGACCACUCGUGGAUGGAUGGCCCAGUCUUGGAGAGAUGGGAUUGUGAUGCAAGUGGUAUUGGACCCCUAGUGUAGCAAAGGUGAAUGGGCAUGGCCUUAGCGUAAUGGGCCGAUAUGUCAGUGGUACCUUUGGAUGUCGGUCUUGGGACCAGACACAUGGAGCACUUGGACUAAGUGCAAGGGAUGAGUGGCAUGGAUGCCACCCUCGGGGUUAGCAAGUCCCCAGUCCUGAAUUGGACUUAAGGAGGUUGUGAAUGAGACUCCUCCAAGUGGUCAAAGGUGUGGUUAAGUGACUAAAGUAGAAUGGAAAAUUUAGUCGCUUACAAUGAUAAGUGUCAUGAUAUAAGGAAUUGUCAAGAUUAAAUCCGAGAUGGAGUUUGAAAAGAAGUCUAAGAUGGAGUCUAACAUGGAGGCCGAGAAGGAGUAUGAGAUAGAGCCCGAGAUAAAGUCCAAGAUGGAGUCCGAGAAGGAGUCCGAGAUGGAAUCUGAAAUAGAGUCUGAGAAGGAGUCCGAAAAGGAGUUUGAGAUGGGGACCAAGAUUGGGAUUGAGAUCAAGAUUGAGACCAAGACCAAGAUUGAAUUCAAGACCGAAUCCAAAUCUGAGUUUGAGUGCACAGGUCACAACCCAAAGCAAUCAUCUCCAGACCUUGGGUGGUUUGGUGAGCUCCAAAAGUAUAAUAAGGGGAGGACUUCAGUAUAGCAAGUUUAGCCAAAAAAAGCCAGGGUGACCAAGGAAGGUAAUACCUAUGUGGUGGGUGAUAAUAUAACCACUGAGGAAUCCAAAGCUAGAGCGAACAUAGAUGAAUAAUUGAGGUAAUUUGGUGAAGUGUUCAAGAGUCCAACUCUAUCUCCCCUGAAAGAUCAAAUGGUCAAUACUCUUAAUCCAAGUGUGGGUGGCACUAUCUACUUGGAUACUUGGUGUGGCUCAUUAGAACCUCACUCUAGCUACAUGGCUAGGACACCUAAGAGCAAAAGGUGGGGAGAUUACCCACGAGGCUUGUGUAUGGCCACAAUGUUUCGAAAUGUUAUCCUAAAGUCCUAAAUUGUGAAAGGAAGAGGAAUAAUCCUCCUGCAUAGUGACCAAAUGCAUGGUCACAUGGUGAGGAAGUCCCAAGGGUUAUUGGAACUUAGUGGUCAUGCUCUUAAGCCUCUCCAACAUAGAGACUCACUCGACCACUUGGGGUGGUUUGCUCCCUUUUACUGGUUCAAUUCUCACUAAACCCGUUAAAGACACCCUCUCUAACUCAAUUCCACUACUCAUUCUCGAGUAGUCUCAGAUUCCAUUGACAUAACCUUUGCACUUUGGAACUUUUAAUUUUGACUUCUCCGAGUCAAUUUCCUAGGUGUCUCCGACACCUUACGUUGCACAUGGUGCAACUCCACUAUCCUAGGAAGUUCUUUACUUGAGGGUACCAUCAUCCUCUCUUUGAUAUCGUGCCACCUUUGGGCACUAAGUUCCAGUUAUCAUAAUUGGUGCUAGGGUUGCCUAUAGCCCUAUUAUUUGGCUACCUUACCGCUCCCCCCUUUGGAGCAUUCACUUUCGCCAAAUCAGAGUAGUUGGGAAUCCAUCCUUAGGGAAACAUUGCCUUUCCCACAAUCCAUUAGCACCCAACACAUUAGUGUUCUCGGCCUAACCUUGCCAUUUGGAUUCUUUCCCAUGAUUCCCAUAGCUCUUUUCUUAGCCACUAGUCUUUUGUUCCUAUCCUUGAUUGUUGCACCCAGCAACAUAGGAUCACUACCUCCAUUUUUGAGGUUUUCUUUCGGUUCCAUAGCAAACAUUUUGCAUUGCCAAGUCCAGAGGGUGUUCACCCCUAGUAUGUCUCUUUAACAUUUUCUGUCGUGGGCCCUAUCCAUAGCCCAACUUUUUGAGACCCUCCCUUGGAUCUCUUAUAGAGACUACUUUCCUUGGACUUAUUAUGCCAUAGCAUUGACAUAGCUCAUUUUUCUUAGAUAUUCUUCCCACUUGGUCACUUUGACCAAGCCACACCAUUAUCAAUAGUUCAAAUCAACACUUUGAACUAGGAAUCAUAUUCCUUAACCCAAACAAAGAUUUUGUCCUUGUUUAGCCACAAGAUCACCUAGUGAUCUCAUAAUAGGUCUAUCAAUAGGAACUAGGUCUUCCAAACCCUUCUAAGUUGUUGACUAUGACCCCGGGGGCAUCCCCCACAUUUGUUGGUGUGCCUAAGCCAGCCCUUCCGGCCAAGGAUCCAUAGCAACUGAGACUUGGGUGUCCCCAUCUCAUUCAUCACGUCCUUGGUGCCCUUUGCACCAAAGUGUUCAAGUUAAAUAUGCCGAGCUUUCACUCUAAGCAAUCUAAUCGUGCAUCAUGACUUCGAGGCAUCCCUCGUUUUGCAGUGUGCCCAAACUAGUCUCCUCACUGAGAGUCCAUGACCACCGAAAUAUGAGUGUCCUCAUAUUCCAAUCCAUCACCACGCCCUAGUGAUUUGGGACUCGAACCCAAGCACUAGAGGGUCGGGACUCGAACCCAACCUCCGUAUAUGCAUCUACGGACGGCAUCACCCUAGAUGCUUGGCGUGACUCCCCACGCCGGUGCACCAACUUAUACUUAAAGCGCGCUAUAGAUCACAACUUAAGAACCUAAUUCCUCCACACUACCAAAUCCUUUCACUUGACACAUCUGUGAUCAUGCAUGGACUCCUCCACACUUGGCCCCAUGGCCCCUCUUUAUGAAGUUAUCACCUUCAACUAGGCUAUUUGUUCCCCCGACUUGCCAAUCUCGCUUGGCAAGUCUUCCGACCACCGUAACAUGGUUCAUGCAUAAGCAUGAAAGUCCUUGACCAUUGACUUUCGUUCAAAGCCCUUUCUUUGAACACUCGGGAAUUACUUCCCUAACCUUGAUAGCCUUGCCUCCUGGCAAGCUUCAAGACCACACUUCUGCUGCACCACUCUGAUUUCGCGCGUUCCAUGAAUCAUUUACACUUUGGCCUUUCUAGGUACUAAGCUACCUAGAAUCGUCUUUGGGAACCUUGAAGAGACUCUAUCCCUUAGCUUGCCUAGGCCUCCUUUUUCGCAAGCUUUCUAGUUGCCAUAUAGUCUAACAUGGACAAUUCCAUAUUUUAGACUCUCCAUGGCAUCAAGGUUGCUAGCAACAACAUCCUCGAGCCCCCACUUGAUUCUCCACUCCUAGCUGGCAUAACCAACCUUGGUCAUGCCUUUCGAUUCCUACGGUUCGGUUCUAUCUCCUUAUUACUUGCUUUUGGCUUCACACCUUUCCUUCAGUCAUUCUCCUCAAGACUAGGAGGAUAGCUUUGCACUUUCUAUCAUGCCUUAGCAAGUAUUCUUAGGGAUGAACCUACCUGAUAGCCUAGGGAGUGGUUCCUUAAUCCAGGUAUGCUCACCUUAUAAUCCCAUAUACCGGGAUUAACGUUGCUGCUCAUGGGCCUUCACUAGCCUUGCCAAAAUUUCAUUUUUGGCUUUGUCCAAUUUGGGUAGAUAGUCUUCUCUCGUCUCUGCAACCUUGGACAUUUGGAUAGCACCUUCUAUCCAUCAUUCGCUAGGGACUUAGUCCCUUGGGCCUUAUCUAUUGCCCUCGUGACACUAAACACCACUUCCUGGUGUUCCAGAGUGUUUGGGUGUCCCAAUGAUGGUCUCCUUGACAAUGAGCAUUUCCUUUUACGACAUUAACUCACUAUAUCGCAACAUAAGCAAUUUAUCCCCUGUAAGGGUAUAUCUAACUUCCUUAUGCCAUUAAGAAGUCUUGGGUAGUUACCUUCUACCUGUUUAACCAAUUAUCCUUGCACCUUUUGCUUAGUUGCCCCAUAGUUGUCAAGUCCUACAACUCAUUGCUUGGUGCUUCCACACCUCCAUCAUUAUCUGGGUCAGCACACUCCAAUGGCAUGCCUUCCAACUUAGGCCAUACCAUUCCCGCUUCCGUUGGGAUUCCCUUGGCAAGGGGUUCUUAUGAACCCACCAUCAUAACCUCAAGGUAUCACACUUUGGCACAUUUGGUGUCUCCACACCAUCGGCCCCACGAGCCUACCCUUAUGACACUACUUAUUAGUGUCUAGGUCUUUGCCAAGACUAAUAUAGUUGUUCCUCAUGGUAACUAUCCGUUAGCACUGCACCAUAGUGUUUGCACCUAACUUUAGGCCAAAGUUGCUUUCCUCUGGGAACAUCUUUCCCACAACUUUAGUAUGGCACAUUCUGCCAUCAAUGAGAUACCUACUGUUCUCAUACUUGGAUCUUAUGAUCCUCCCCAUACCUCAUAGGGCACCAUAUACCUCAGUCCAAAUGUUUCAACCAAUCUCUUAGGACCAUUCCCUGACUCCACUUGAGUUAUCUAGCAUUUUGGACUUUGCUAAUCCAACAACCUGCGAGGUCUUAGUCUUAGAGGUGCCAACUCAUUAGAAUACAACUUCUUGUAUUCAUGUCCUACUCACAAGGACAAUCUUUGCAAGUGUUACUCUGACACUUGAUGAUUUUCUUGGGGCUAACCUUUGCCCCUUAGGACUAUUUGUCCAUAUGAUGAGAAUAACAACUCAUCUUUAAGUACACCCCCAACUCCUUGGGUUGUUCCAGCAUUUAUUAGAGGUAGUCCCGACUACCAUUUCAAGGACUCAUGUCCUCAUCCGUAUUUGACCUUUCACGAUCAUUAAUUUUGGUCUUAAUUUCAUGAGGACCAGCCUCACUAUAUGAGGUUAAUCUUGUGACUCCUUUAUUGUUUUUGGAGUCUGCAUUUUUCCUGUGAUCCCAACUAUAGUUGUUUACCACAACUAUAUUAGCUCGUUUGUUGCAUCAAACGCUCAUCUGGAUCACAUCCUCAGCUCUCUGAGGAAACCAUUAUACUAUUCCCAAGAUCCCAAAGUCGUUCCCUUACUGGCCCUUUUCCAUCCACCAUAUCAUGCACAAGUUCACGCAUGAACUUGAGUGGAGAGCCAUGUCCUCUUGACAUGCUACUCCUCGAGGAUAGGUCCAUAUCUAGGACCUUCCAAUUCCAAUAUAAGUGGUGGUAUACUUGGCCACCAAUAAGAGUCGGACUAAGGAAUAGCUCUGAUACCAAGUUGUAAGUGACUAAAUUUUCCAUUCUACUUUAGUCACUUAACCACACCUUUGACCACUUGGAGGAGUCUCAUUCACAACCUCCUUAAGUCCAAUUCAGGAUUGGGGACUUGCUAGCCCUGAGGGUGGCAUCCAUGCAACUCAUCCCUUGCACUUACUCCAAGUGCUCCACGUGUCCGGUCCCAAGACUGACAUCCAAAAGUACCACUGACAUAUCGGCCCGUUACGCUAAGGCCAUGCCCAUUCACCUUUGCCACACUAGGGGUCCAAUACCACUUGCAUCACAAUCCCAUCUCUCCAAGACUGGGCCAUCCAUCCACGAGUGGUCAACCUAGAUCCACUCCUUAGCAUCCUUGGGAUGUUUACAGACAUGGGGAAUAGCCUUCCCCAAUAUCCCUUUGUUAGUUCCUACCAAGUCCCUUUUCUGUCCAUGGCCAUGUUCACCGACACUGCCACUAAAUCAAGGCCCACAGGCCCGACCACUAAGUCCCAUGGUCCUCUGGGACUUCCUCACCAUGUGAUUGUAUCCUUAGUCACUACACUAGAGGACUGCUCUUCCUCCUUUCCCCCAUUUGGGACUCCGGGACAACAUUUCGGAAUACCGUGGGCCUACGCGAGCCCCAUGGGUACUCUCCCCACCUUCUGCCUUUAUGUGCUCUAGCCAUGGGCUUAGAGCGAGGUUCCAUUGAGCCACGCCUGGUAUCCAAGUAGGUAGUGCCACCCACACGUGGACUGGGAGCAUCGGCCAGUCGAUCUCCCGGGGGAACUAGAGCCGGCUCUUGAAUACUUCACCAAGCUACCCCGCUUGUCAGUCCGUAUUCACUCUAGUCUUGGACUUCUCAGUGGUCAGUUCAUCACCCAACACUGGGUCUGGCCUUCCUGGGCCAAACUGGCCUUUCCUGGCCAAACUGGCUCCACUACAGUCCUCCCCCUCACUAUACUUUUGGAGCUCACCAAACCCCCUAGGGUCUGGGAGACGAAUGCUUUGGGCUUUCACCCUCUCAGACUCGGACUCAGACUCAGACUCGGACACGGACUCGGACUCGGGCUGGGACUCGGACUCGGACUCGGACUCGGACUCGGGCUCGGGCUCGGUCUCGGUCUCGGUCCCAGUCUCGGUCUCGGUCUCGGUCCCGGUCUCGGUCUCGGUCUCCAUCCCGGUCUCGGUGUCGACCUCGGACUCCAUUUCAGGUCCUUCUCGGACUCCAUCUCGGAUUCCAUCUCGGGUCCAUCUUGGACUCCAUUCUCGGACUCCGUCUCGGUCCAUCUCGGACUCCAUCUCGAACUCCAUCUCGGGUCCAUCUCGGACUCCAUCUCGAACUCCAUCUCGGGUCCAUCUCGGACUCCAUCUCAGGUCCUUUUCGGACUCCAUCUCGGAUUCCAUCUCGGGUCCAUCUCGGACUCCAUUCUCGGACUUCGUCUCGGUCCAUCUCGGACUCCAUCUCGGACUCCAUUCUCAGACUCUGUCUCGGUCCUUCUUGGACUCCAUCUCGAACUCCAUCUCGGGUCCAUCUCGGACUCCAUCUCAGGUCCUUUUCGGACUCCCUCUUGGACUCCAUCUCGGGUCCAUCUCGGACUCCUUCCAUGUGUCAUGUGUUGGUCCUUUUGGGUCCCUUUUUUGGAGCCUCGCUUAUUGCUCACUUCAUGCUCGUUCCUCGAGCACUUUGUUGGGAGUUCCACUCCUGCUCUCAACUUUUCAAGUUGGAGCUUUUGGUCCAAACGUGUUACGCUCGUUUGGCUUUUGCUUCGGCCACUACCACGUGGCACCCUUCCGGCUCCACUUUGGGGCCUAGGGAUUUUGUGUCUCACACAUAUGUCAAUCCCUCUUGUGUCCUUUUCUAGAGACUCAUUCAUUGAUUGUUUUGUACUCGUUCCUUGAGCACUUCUUUAGGAGUUCCACUCCCACUUUUAACUUUCCAAGUUAGAGCUUUUGGUCCAAACAUAUUAUGCUUGUUGGACUUCUGCUUCAACCACUGUCAUGUGGCACUCUUUCGGCUCCAGUUUGGGCCAUAAGGAUUUGUGUCUCAUAACUCCAUCACCCAUAAACAAAAUUUGAUGUCCUCAUCAAAUGUUUAAUCAUUUUAUAAAGUAACCCCUAUCAUGGAUUACCAUUUUCAUCUUUAGCACAAAAUUAAUAUUUGUCAAUGGUUCAAUAUUGAAGGUUCACUAUGCCUUGCCCAUCCUCUAAGAAGCAUAGUCUUCCAAUUUAGAGUCUCAUUAGAUCACUAGCAGUAGUUCUCUACCUUUGUUCAUUUAGUUUUUGCUAAACCCGUUAAAAACACUUUCAUUAUUCAAUAUUAUUAUUUAUUCUAGAGUAGUCUUAGCCUCUACCAACAUAACAAUCACAUUCUAAAAUUUUAUAAUUGACAUCUCAAAUUAAUUUCCUAAGUGUGUUUGACACCUUGUAUUGCAUUAAUUAUGCAAAUACCACUUCUCCAUCCUAGGAGGUUUUUUACUAGAGGGCAUCAUUAUCCUCUUUUUUAUUUUAUGCCAUCCUUAGCACUAAAUUCCAUUUAUCCAUAAUUUGUGUUAGAGCUAUCCAGCCCUAUCAUUUGGCUAUUUAUGGUUCAGCAGUAUAAAAAAAGGGUCGCACUCCCGUAACCCUUAAAUUGGAGCAUUUGGGAAUCCUAUUCUUGGAAAUAAAUUUCCCUUCCCACAAUCCGUUAGUACCCACCACAUGGUGAUUCCUUGCCUAACUCAUUAUUUAGAUUUUUGUAAGAAUUUCUAAUGUCCAUUCUCGGCCACUAAUCUUUUGCUUAUAUCCUUUGAUUGUUGCACUAAGAAAUAUAGGAUUACUACCUCCAAUCUUGAGGAAUCCUUUCGAUUCUAUAGUAAAGGUUUUGCUUUGCUAAACCCUUAGUAAGUCUUUUUAGCAUUUUCUACUAUGGGUUUUAUCCACAGCCCUCUAUGACCCUCCUAUGGGUCUUUCUUUUGAAACUACUUUAUUGAACUCACAAUACCAUUAUAUAGUCACAACUCACUUCCCCUAGGUGUUUUUCCCUUUUGGUCACCUUGACCAAUUCAUAUAUUACUAAUAGUUCAAAUCAACACCUUGAAUUAACAACCUUAUUUUCUUAACCUAACAAGAAUUUUGUCUUUGUUUAGCUAUAAGCUCACUUAGUGAUCUCACCUUGACACUUUAUUAGGUUUGUGAAUAUGUAUUAUAUCUUUCAAACCUUUAAGUUGUUGACCAUGACCCCAAGGGCAUCCCCCACACUUGGCAAUGCACCCAAGCUAGCCCUUCUAGCCAAGAGUUCAUAACAAUUGAGAUUGAGUGUCCCCAUUUCAUUCACCACAUCCUUGGUGCCACUUACACUAGAGUGUUCAAGUUAAAUAUAUCGAGCUUUCAUACUAAACAAUCUAACUGUGCAUCGUGAUCUAGAGCAUCCCCCGCUUAGUGGUGUGCCCAAGCCAGCCUCCUUUCUAAGAGUUCAUAACCACCGAAAAAUGAAUGUCUUGAUAUUUUAAUCAUCACCACGCCCUAAUGAGCUGGGACUUGAAUCCAAGCACUAGAGGGUUGGGAUCAAACCUAACUUUUAUAUAUGCAUUUAUAGACAGCAUCACCUAAGCUACCUGGAGUGACUCUCUAUGUCGGUGCACUAAUUUAUACCCAAAGUGCGUUACAGAUCACAACUUAGGAACCUAGUUCCUCAAAGCUUCUAAGUUUUCUCACUUGAUAAGCUAGUUAAUUAGCAUAUGAUUAUGUAUGGACUCCUUUAUGGUUGGCCUCAUGGGAUACUCCUUUUGAAGUCAACCCCUUCAACUAGGAUCUUUGUUCCUUUGACUUGCCAUUUUUGCUUAGUAAGUCAUAUGAAUUUUUUUAAACACCUAGGAAUUACUUCCCCAACCUUGAUAGCCUCACCUUAUAGCAAGUUUCAAGGUUAUACUCUGUUACACUAUUUUGAUUUUGCGCAUUUUUAUGAACUAUUUGCACUUGUCUUUCUAGGUGCUAACCUACCCAGACAAGUUUUUGGGAACAUUGAAGAGACUCUAUCCUUUAGCUUGCCAAAACUUCUCAUUUUGCAAGCUUCUUAAUUGUUAUAUAUUCUAACAUAGGCAAUUCCAUACUUUAGACUCACAAUGGCAUUAUAGUUGCCAGUAGCAACACUUUCGAACAUUUGCUUGAUUCCACACUCCCAACUUGCAUAACCAUCUUUAGUUAUGCUUUUCAAUUCUUAUGGUUUAGUCUUAUCUCUUUACUACCUACUUUUGGCCUUCUACGUUCUCUUUGGUUAUUCCCCUUUUGACUGGGAAGUUACCUUUGCACUUUUUACUAUGCCUUAGCAAGUAUUCUUAGGGAUGAACCUACUCACUGAUUUAGAGAGUGAUUCUUCAAUUUGGAAAUAUUCACUUUAUAAUUUUAUACAUCAAGAUUAAUAUCGUUUAGGGGCCCAAGGCCCUAAAACUUAGGUUCCACUCUUCUACUUUUGACUUACAUGUUCGAGGGUUACCCACUCUAUGGUUAUCUUAUUUUAAAUUAUCAUAAGGUAAAAGGUAAAAACCAUAUAUGCUACAUUUAAACUCCAUUUCAAACUCCAUCUUAGAUUUGGUCUAAAAUUCAAUCUCAGUCUUAGUCUUGGUCUCAAUCUCAACACUUGCCAUGUGUUUGUUCUUCUUUUAUCCCUUUGUAAAAAGACUUGCUUACCAAUCACUUUGAGCUUGUUCUUUAAGCUCUUCUUUAGGAGUUCCUCUCCCACUCUUGAUUUUGUAAGUUAGAGCUUUUAGUCUAAAUGUGUUACCCUUAUUAGACUUUCACUUUGGCAACUACUAUAUAGCAUGUAUUUAGAUCUAUUUUAUGACUUAGGGAUUUGUGUAAUACACUUAAGCACUUCUUUAGGAGUUUCAUUCCCACUCUCAACUUUUUAAGUCAGACUUUUUAGUUUGUUUAUUGGACUUCUGUUUAAGUGACUACUAAGUGUAUUGUGGCCAGCACUUCAUCAAAAUCUUUGUAAGCUUAUGAAUUUAGACUUCCUGAGAGGUCACCCAACCCAGUACUAUUCAAACCCAAAGACGUUUAACCCCAAAUAUCUUAAGACCAUUAAUCAAUUGGAAAAAAGGAUGCACUUUUAUUCAUGGACCCUUUUCCUUCAUAUUUGAACCCUAUUAUUUCUUAAAUCGUUAUUUUUGGUUGCUUACAAUCCACCAUGCUUUCCUACAAGUUCACGCCCUCGUGAACCGAAGCUGAGCCACAACUCUUCUGAGAGCCCCGCUCUCUUAACACCCUACCCCUUGGGUCAAGUUCAACCGGGAGUAAACUAGACUUACCAGAUAUCAAUCUCAAUAUAUGAUAUGAUUCCUUUAGCUAACUAAUAGAAUUGAACCCAAAACCCCUUUGAUACCAGAUAUAAGCUCUUGAAUUUAGACUUCCUGAUAGAUCACCCAACCUAAUACUAUUCAAACCCAAAGAUAUUUAACCCCAAAUAUCCUGACCUUUAACCAAUUGGAAAAAGGGAUGCACUCUUAUUUAUGGGCCUUUUCCCUUUAUAUUUGAAUUCUAUGGAUGGUCUCUUAAGUUAUUUUCUUUGGUUGUUUACAAUUUUGUGGCCUUGUGCAUACACUAGCUACCUUUGACAAUACACUUUAAUUGACAUAAUAUUAUGAGACAUCACUAUAAAACACCAAUUUGUAAAUUUCAAAGUGGAGCCAAAGAUGAACUACCCAACUUGAUCUACUCCAACAUAUUUGUCUCUAUACAAACUAAGAAACUCUAAAAGCAAACAUCAAAUUAAAUAAUUAACUUAGACAACCCCUAAUGGAAACAAUGCAAUUAUGGCAUCAUCACAAUUAUUAGCAUGUCCAAAUAAACAUUUGAAGACAUUUGAGAAAAGGCUCUAAUGUAUACAAGUGGCUAUGCUCAAACAAUUAUACCACUGCAAUAUUGUCCCUUGCAAACAUGUAGAGAACUCACAUAGAUAUUAAGCAUCAUCCCAAAAAUGAUAGGUGGCAAUCAUUGUAAAAUGAUCAAACUAAUGAUACAUAUCAUCCCUAGAAUUUCCACAAAAGAAAUUUAGCCAAAUGCAAGGAUUUGUAGUAAAAUCAAGAGGAGUUACACCAUAUGCUGUGAACGCCAUUAUCAAUUGAGUAUGAUUAAUCAAUUGUAGCUGUAUAACAUUGAGCAAUUGCACUAAUUGCCACUUUUGAGUCAAAGGAGGAGUAUAUUAUUCUGUCAUAAAAAUGAACAAAAGGAAAAUUGAAAAAAUAAAAAUGAAAAAAAAUAUUAUAGGAACAAAAAAGAUCUAAACACCUCAACUAAUAUGAGUGAAUAUAAUAUAGAAAUAUGCAUAUUUAAUUAGCCCAAAAAAACAGUUUAUAUAAAAGCAAGUGGUCUAGAUUGAAACUUAUAUAAGUAUUGUAACAGUACACCUAUCUUAUAGUUUAAUUUUAAGGAAAUAACAAAUACUUUAAGAGAAUCUACUUAAUCUCUAUACUGGUUUAUAAAGUAAAUAAAUGAAUAGGUUUUAAAGUAUUUCUUUCAUGUGUUGAGUGAUAUGAUCCCCUAUCAUAUAUGUGAUGAUAGGAGAUUGGCAAUUCUCUGCUGUCCUGCUUGUACUGUAGGAUGCAGUGAUGAACUGAAGAAAAGGAAAGAAAGGUAAGAUUUUCUUUCAUUUCAUUCAUUAGAACUCUUGAUUCUCUUGUCUUUCAAUAAAACUUUGCAUAAAAAACUCUACUCUAAACUUUAUAUGAAAACAAACACAUGAGUUACUACAUUGUAAGGAAAUGAGUGGAACUUAAGGUCAUGUCUUUAUUAUGUUAAAUUGUUUAUGAACUUAUAUCAAUAAUCAUGGUGUAGGAGCUGGGCCUGGUGCUGAUGCUGGUGAUUCUGGUGGUGGUGUUGGUGAAAGUGAAGGUGCUGGUGUUGGUGAUGGUGGUGGCGGUGGCGGUGGUGGGGGAGGUUGUGUUCUUGGUGGUGGUGGAGGAGGUGUUCUUGGUGGUGGUGGCGGAGGUUUUCUUGGAGGUGGUGGUGGACGAGUUCUUGGAGGUGGGGGAGGAGGGGUUCUUGGCGGUGGUGGUGGUGGUGUUCUCGGUGGUGGUGGUGGAGGAGUUCUAGGUGGUGGUGGUGGAGGAGUUCUAGGUGGGGGUGGGGGUGGUCUUCUAGGGGGUGGUGGUGGUGGUUUUCUAGGUGGUGGUGGUGAAGCUUUUGGUGGUGGUGGUGGUGGAGGUGGAGAAUUUGGUGGUGGUGGAGGUGAACAAGCAUUUGGAGUAAAAUAAUAGGGUCCACAAGUGAACUUAUUAUUUCCAUUAUUGGUGCAUGUGCUUAAAGAUUGGCCACUUGAUCCACCAUUUAUGUCUGUUAAGAAAGAACACCCUCGGGGUGCUCUACUUGUAUCCACACUCACUCGACAACUCCCAAUAUCUGUUCCAGUUUUCACUAAUUCAAAGAUAUUAAAGUAUCCUUUACUAUUUGUAAAUGAUGAAUCACUGUCUCCUGGACAAACCAGGUUUACCUUGGCAUCUGAAAGAUUUAACAAGAUUAGAAAAAUACAGAAGAUAGAUAAUUAUUCUUACUGAAGAUGCCACUCUGAGAGAGUGAACCACAGUUAGUACAAUAAACAUAGCCAUCCACUUUGAUACUUGUAGUGGCAACACAAAAAUUCUCAUUUUUCAGAAUGAUUGCAAGUAAUAAAAUUAAAUAGAGAAAUGUUUUG
rnacentral:lncRNA from 1 species